rnacentral:rRNA from 1 species
GAACGGCAGCACAGCAGUAGCAAUACUGUGGGUGGCGAGUGGCGGACGGGUGAGGAAUACAUCGGAAUCUGCCUAGUCGUGGGGGAUAACGUAGGGAAACUUACGCUAAUACCGCAUACGACCUACGGGUGAAAGCGGGGGAUCGCAAGACCUCGCGCGAUUAGAUGAGCCGAUGUCCGAUUAGCUAGUUGGCGGGGUAAUGGCCCACCAAGGCGACGAUCGGUAGCUGGUCUGAGAGGAUGAUCAGCCACACUGGAACUGAGACACGGUCCAGACUCCUACGGGAGGCAGCAGUGGGGAAUAUUGGACAAUGGGCGCAAGCCUGAUCCAGCCAUGCCGCGUGGGUGAAGAAGGCCUUCGGGUUGUAAAGCCCUUUUGUCCGGAAAGAAAAGCACUGGAUUAAUACUUCGUGUGUUCUGACGGUACCGGAAGAAUAAGCACCGGCUAACUUGUGCCAGCAGCCGCGGUAAUACGAAGGGUGCAAGCGUUACUCGGAAUUACUGGGCGUAAAGCGUGCGUAGGUGGUUCGUUAAGUCUGAUGUGAAAGCCCUGGGCUCAACCUGGGAAUUGCAUUGGAUACUGGCGGGCUAGAGUGCGGUAGAGGAUGGCGGAAUUCCCGGUGUAGCAGUGAAAUGCGUAGAGAUCGGGAGGAACAUCUGUGGCGGAAGGCGGCCAUCUGGACCAGCACUGACACUGAGGCACGAAAGCCGUGGGGAGCAAACA